GAACUUUCGAUUAUUUAUUUGAAAACAAAAAAAAGUUUGGGAGCCGCCGUUCGCUUUCUGCCCCCGCUUUCGGUUUACCGUUUAGCUUCAACCUUCCCGGAAUGCCCCUGGAGAAUCCCUGCCGUCUCGACUCCGUACCAUCCCGUUAUUCUGUCUCAUGGUGAGCUGGAGCUCGUCCCAGAUCGCCUUGCGCAGGGAAUUUUCCUUCCCUAAAGUCGGCACGUGGUUGUCCCUUUCCCACGUAACAAGGCUUCGAGCCUGGGCGUCGGACCGAUACGCGGCGGGUUACCUGACGGUAGUUCGGCGACGUAACGGCUCGGACGUGGCUUGGGGACUGAUCCCUGGCGUCCAAUCGAUGAUGGACGGGCAUAAAGUGGAUAAGGACCACGGGGGACGAGAGGCCGCCUAACGCGGAGGCUAAUACGGGGAUGGAUUGGAUGCGGGGGAGGGGAGCGGCAGCGAGGCCACGCGACUACGCGAGCGAGCCGCUUGAUGAUGGUUUUGGGAGGGGGUUUUGUUGCUUGCCAGCUCAGCACAUAGCAUGCGUCCAAUGAGAAAUAACUGGACGAAGCUAAUGCCGUCUCUUGCUUUUCACAGCAUCCACAAAAUCUACAGAGAGCCCCUCAAAC
rnacentral:lncRNA from 1 species